rnacentral:ribozyme from 1 species
CGGGGGUGCAAUGAAGAAGUGAAAGAAGAAGAAGUAACAGAAAUGUGUUGGCUCGUGUUUUUUGUUUUUGUUUUUUUGGUUGUUCUAACUAGUUUAAAAAGCAAGGCAAUCGUUUAACCCCUUUUUUUCUUUUUAAUAUUCACAAGCUUUUUUAAUUGACUCU